rnacentral:rRNA from 1 species
GAUGAACGAUAGCGACAGGCUUAACACAUGCAAGUCGAGGGGCAGCAUAAAAGUAGCAAUACUUUGGUGGCGACCGGCGCACGGGUGAGUAACGCGUAUGCAACCUACCUAUCAGAGGGGAAUAACCCGGCGAAAGUCGGACUAAUACCGCAUAAAACAGGGGCACCGCAUGGUGAUAUUUGUUAAAGAAAUUCGCUGAUAGAUGGGCAUGCGUUCCAUUAGGUAGUUGGUGAGGUAACGGCUCACCAAGCCGACGAUGGAUAGGGGAACUGAGAGGUUGGUCCCCCACACUGGUACUGAGACACGGACCAGACUCCUACGGGAGGCAGCAGUGAGGAAUAUUGGUCAAUGGGCGGGAUCCUGAACCAGCCAAGUCGCGUGAAGGAAGAAGGAUCUAUGGUUCGUAAACUUCUUUUGCAGGGGAAUAAAGUGCAGGACGUGUCCUGUUUUGUAUGUACCCUGAGAAUAAGGAUCGGCUAACUCCGUGCCAGCAGCCGCCGUAA